GACGAACGCUGGCGGCGCGCUUAACACAUGCAAGUCGAACGGAAAGGCCUGCUUUCCCUUGUGGAUUGCGGGUACUCGAGUGGCGAACGGGUGAGUAACACGUGAGUGAUCUGCCCCCAACUUGGGUAUAAGCCUGGGAAACUGGGUCUAAUUCCCGAUAGGACUGCAGGGUGGUGCCUGUGGUGGAAAACGAUUUUCUAGUGGUUGGGGAUGAGCUCGCGGCCUAUCAGCUUGGUGGUGGGGUAAUGGCCUACCAAGGCGGCGACGGGUAGCCGGACUGAGAGGGUGGACGGCCACAUUGGGACUGAGAUACGGCCCAGACUCCUACGGGAGGCAGCAGUGGGGACUAUUGCACAAUGGGCGGAAGCCUGAUGCAGCGACGCCGCGUGGGGGAUGACGGCCUUCGGGUUGUAAACUCCUUUCGACCGCGAGGAAGCCACCUGGUUGGAAGGGUGGUGACGGUAGUGGUAGAAGAAGCACCGGCUAACUACGUG
rnacentral:rRNA from 1 species